rnacentral:lncRNA from 1 species
GUAAUGACCGGGUAUUUUAUGCCACGUUAGCAUUUUUAGUUUGAAAAGUCUUAUUUUGUGUGAUGGUUGAAAAGUCAAAAAGAAAAGUGUUUGGAGAACACAUGUCAAUUUUGGAUUGGUGAAUUUCGUUUUAUUGUGUCGGUCAAUUAAACGAGUUGAAAUUUUAUGCCAUGUUAGCCUUAGGAUAGAAAAUUUCUUAGGAUUUUAGAAAUUGGAAAUUUCUGGGAACGAAAAACGAAAACGAAAAUGAAAAAUAAAUAAAUUAAGAUUAAUUAGAAUUAAUUAAGAAAAAUAAAUAAAUUAAUUAAAUUAAAUUGAUGAAU